rnacentral:rRNA from 1 species
GACGUAGGGGGCUAGCGUUGUUCGGAAUUACUGGGCGUAAAGCGUGUGUAGGUGGUUGCCCAAGUUGGAUGUGAAAGCCUUGAGCUCAACUCAAGAAAUGCAUUCAGGACUGGGCGGCUAGAGGACCGGAGAGGAUAGUGGAAUUCCCAGUGUAGUGGUGAAAUACGUAGAGAUUGGGAAGAACACCAGUGGCGAAGGCGGCUAUCUGGACGGUUUCUGACACUAAGACUCGAAAGCGUGGGGAGCAAACAGG